rnacentral:rRNA from 1 species
GAUGAACGCUAGCGGCAGGCCUAAUACAUGCAAGUCGAACGAUAGUUACCAGCUUGCUGGUAACGAAAAGUGGCGCACGGGUGCGUAACGCGUAUGCAACCUACCUUAUUCAGGGGGAUAGCCCGAAGAAAUUCGGAUUAACACCGCAUAAAAUCACAGAACAGCAUUGUUUAAUGAUCAAAUAUUUAUAGGAAUAAGAUGGGCAUGCGUGUCAUUAGCUAGUUGGCGGGGUAACGGCCCACCAAGGCGACGAUGACUAGGGGAUCUGAGAGGAUGACCCCCCACACUGGUACUGAGACACGGACCAGACUCCUACGGGAGGCAGCAGUAAGGAAUAUUGGUCAAUGGAGGCAACUCUGAACCAGCCAUGCCGCGUGCAGGAAGACAGCCCUCUGGGUCGUAAACUGCUUUUAUUCGGGAAUAAACCUUAUUACGUGUAAUAAGUUGAAUGUACCGAAGGAAUAAGGAUCGGCUAACUCCGUGCCAGCAGCCGCGGUAAUACGGAGGAUCCAAGCGUUAUCCGGAUUUAUUGGGUUUAAAGGGUGCGUAGGCGGCUUAUUAAGUCAGGGGUGAAAGACGGUGGCUCAACCAUCGCAGUGCCCUUGAUACUGAUGAGCUUGAAUGAACUAGAGGUAGGCGGAAUGUGACAAGUAGCGGUGAAAUGCAUAGAUAUGUCACAGAACACCGAUUGCGAAGGCAGCUUACUAUGGUUUUAUUGACGCUGAGGCACGAAAGCGUGGGGAUCAAACAGGAUUAGAUACCCUGGUAGUCCACGCCCUAAACGAUGAAUACUCGCUGUUAGCGAUAUACAGUUAGCGGCUAAGCGAAAGCGUUAAGUAUUCCACCUGGGGAGUACGCCCGCAAGGGUGAAACUCAAAGGAAUUGACGGGGGCCCGCACAAGCGGAGGAGCAUGUGGUUUAAUUCGAUGAUACGCGAGGAACCUUACCCGGGCUUGAAAGUUAGUGAAUGAUUUAGAGAUAGAUCAGUGAGCAAUCACACGAAACUAGGUGCUGCAUGGCUGUCGUCAGCUCGUGCCGUGAGGUGUUGGGUUAAGUCCCGCAACGAGCGCAACCCCUAUGUUUAGUUGCCAGCACGUUAAGGUGGGGACUCUAAACAGACUGCCUGUGCAAACAGAGAGGAAGGAGGGGACGACGUCAAGUCAUCAUGGCCCUUACGUCCGGGGCUACACACGUGCUACAAUGGAUGGUACAGAGGGCAGCAAGCUGGUAACAGCAAGCAAAUCUCAAAAAGCCAUUCACAGUUCGGAUAGAGGUCUGCAACUCGACCUCUUGAAGUUGGAUUCGCUAGUAAUCGCGUAUCAGCAAUGACGCGGUGAAUACGUUCCCGGGCCU